rnacentral:rRNA from 1 species
GACGAACGCUGGCGGCGUGCUUAACACAUGCAAGUCGAACGGGCUGCCUGGUUUUCGGAUCGGGUGGUGAGUGGCGAACGGGUGAGUAACACGUGAGUAACCUGCCCCUCUCUUUGGGAUAACGUCGGGAAAUCGGCGCUAAUACCGGGUAUUCUGGCUUCCUCGCAUGGGGUUGUUGGGAAAGGUUUUUUCUGGUGGGGGAUGGGCUCGCGGCCUAUCAGCUUGUUGGUGGGGUGAUGGCCUACCAAGGCGGUGACGGGUAGCCGGCCUGAGAGGGUGUCCGGCCACACUGGGACUGAGACACGGCCCAGACUCCUACGGGAGGCAGCAGUGGGGAAUAUUGCACAAUGGGCGGAAGCCUGAUGCAGCGACGCCGCGUGGGGGAUGACGGCCGUCGGGUUGUAAACCUCUUUCAGUGCAGAACAAGGCUCUUUGUGGGUUGAGGGUAGGCGCAGAAGAAGCGCCGGCUAACUACGUG